rnacentral:rRNA from 1 species
AGCGAACGCUGGCGGCAGGCCUAACACAUGCAAGUCGAACGGAUCCUUCGGGAUUAGUGGCGGACGGGUGAGUAACACGUGGGAACGUGCCCUUUGGUUCGGAACAACUCAGGGAAACUUGAGCUAAUACCGGAUGUGCCCUUCGGGGGAAAGAUUUAUCGCCAUUGGAGCGGCCCGCGUCUGAUUAGCUAGUUGGUGAGGUAACGGCCCACCAAGGCGACGAUCAGUAGCUGGUCUGAGAGGAUGAUCAGCCACACUGGGACUGAGACACGGCCCAGACUCCUACGGGGGGCAGCAGUGGGGAAUCUUGCGCAAUGGGCGAAAGCCUGACGCAGCCAUGCCGCGUGAAUGAUGAAGGUCUUAGGAUUGUAAAAUUCUUUCAGCGGGGACGAUAAUGACGGUACCCGCAGAAGAAGCGCCGGCUAACUUCGUG